GCUACGGGAGGCGGCAGUGAGGAAUAUUGGUCAAUGGGCUUACGCCUGAACCAGCCAAGUCGCGUGAGGGAAGACUGCCCUAUGGGUUGUAAACCUCUUUUGUCAGGGAGCAAGUGGCGCUACGUGUAGCGUUAUCGAGAGUACCUGAAGAAAAAGCAUCGGCGAACUCCGUGCCAGCAGCCGCGGUAAUACGGAGGAUGCGAGCGUUCUCCGGAUUGAUGGGGUGUAAAGGGUGCGUAGGCGGAAUGCCAAGUCAGCGGUAAAAUCGCGGGGCUCAACCUCGCUCCGCCGUUGAAACGGGCGUUCUUGAUUGGGCGAGAAGUCUGCGGAAUGCGUGGUGUAGCGUU
rnacentral:rRNA from 1 species